GAGCGGCAGAAUUUUAAAUACGUGUUUGAUGGUUGAUCCCUUAUGUAAUUUCUUUUUCCUAAUACAGCAUUGGAAAAACAAAUCGCCCUUAAUCGAUGGAUGACAAAGGUCGAAGUUGAUGAUGAAGAACAUGACGAUAAGGAGGAGGAGGAGGAGGAAGACGAUGAUUGCUGGCUUGAAGACUUGUUGUUGUUUCUGAAAUGACAGUACCAGUUUUAUUGCUUAGGAUCCAGAAGAAGCUACCUGAGAACACCUCCUGAAUAAGUGCUGUCGCUUGAACUGCUUGAGCUGCUGCCAUGGUAAUUGCCCCUGCACCAGUUCCUGAAGAUAAUGAGCCAAUAUUAUAGGAUGCCAGAGGUUGGGACGAAUUCACAUUGUAAGCAUUGUUGGAAGAGGCCGUGGAA